rnacentral:rRNA from 1 species
UUUGGACUAGGCAAAAUGGCACCGUAACUUCGGGAGAAGGUGCGCCGGUGAGGGUGAAGCAUUUACUGCGUAAGCCCAUGCCGGUCGAAGAUACCAGGCCGCUGCGACUGUUUAUUAAAAACACAGCACUCUGCAAACACGAAAGUGGACGUAUAGGGUGUGACGCCUCCCCGGUGCCGGAAGGUUAAUUGAUGGGGUUAGCUAACGCGAAGCUCUUGAUCGAAGCCCCGGUAAACGGCGGCCGUAACAAUAACGGUCCUAAGGUAGCGAAAUUCCUUGUCGGGUAAGUUCCGACCUGCACGAAUGGCGUAACGAUGGCGGCGCUGUCUCCACCCGAGACUCAGUGAAAUUGAAAUCGCUGUGAAGAUGCAGUGUAUCCGCGGCUAGACGGAAAGACCCCGUGAACCUUUACUAUAGCUUUGCACUGGACUUUGAAUUUGCUUGUGUAGGAUAGGUGGGAGGCUUUGAAGCGUGGACGCCAGUUCGCGUGGAGCCAACCUUGAAAUACCACCCUGGCAACUUUGAGGUUCUAACUCAGGUCCGUUAUCCGGAUCGAGGACAGUGUAUGGUGGGUAGUUUGACUGGGGCGGUCUCCUCCUAAAGAGUAACGGAGGAGUACGAAGGUGCGCUCAGACCGGUCGGAAAUCGGUCGUAGAGUAUAAAGGCAAAAGCGCGCUUGACUGCGAGACAGACACGUCGAGCAGGUACGAAAGCAGGUCUUAGUGAUCCGGUGGUUCUGUAUGGAAGGGCCAUCGCUCAACGGAUAAAAGGUACUCCGGGGAUAACAGGCUGAUACCGCCCAAGAGUUCAUAUCGACGGCGGUGUUUGGCACCUCGAUGUCGGCUCAUCACAUCCUGGGGCUGAAGCCGGUCCCAAGGGUAUGGCUGUUCGCCAUUUAAAGUGGUACGCGAGCUGGGUUUAGAACGUCGUGAGACAGUUCGGUCCCUAUCUGCCGUGGACGUUUGAGAUUUGAGAGGGGCUGCUCCUAGUACGAGAGGACCGGAGUGGACGAACCUCUGGUGUUCCGGUUGUCACGCCAGUGGCAUUGCCGGGUAGCUAUGUUCGGAAUAGAUAACCGCUGAAAGCAUCUAAGCGGGAAACUAGCCUCAAGAUGAGAUCUCACUGGGACCUUGAGUCCCCUGAAGGGCCGUCGAAGACUACGACGUUGAUAGGUUGGGUGUGUAAGCGCUGUGAGGCGUUGAGCUAACCAAUACUAAUUGCCCGUGAGGCUUGAUC